rnacentral:rRNA from 1 species
GAUGAACGCUAGCGGCAGGCCUAAUACAUGCAAGUCGAACGGUGUCUUCGGACAUAGUGGCGCACGGGUGCGUAACACGUAUGCAACCUACCUUACAUUGGGGGAUAGCCUUUCGAAAGGGAGAUUAAUACCGCAUAAGACAGUAGCUGGGCAUCCAGCAGCUGUUAAAGAUUUAUCGAUGUAAGCUGGGCAUGCGUCCAAUUAGCUAGUUGGGGAGGUAACGGCUCACCAAGGCAAUGAUUGGUAGGGGAACUGAGAGGUCAAUCCCCCACACUGGAGCUGAGAUGCGGGCCAGACGACUACGGGAGGCAGCAGUAGGGAAUAUUUGGCAAUGGACGCAAGUCUGACCCAGCCAGGCCGCGUGCAGGAUGAAGGCGUUAUGCGUUGUAAACUGCUUUUAUACAGGAAGAAACGACUCUUGCGAGAGGCAUUGACGGUACUGUAUGAAUAAGCACCGGCUAACUCCGUGCCAGCCGCCGCCGUAAAAC